UAACCUGCCCAAGAGAUCGGGAUAACACCUGGAAACAGAUGCUAAUACCGGAUAACAACAGAUGAUGCCUAUCAACUGUUUAAAAGAUGGUUCUGCUAUCACUCUUGGAUGGACCUGCGGUGCAUUAGCUAGUUGGUAGGGUAACGGCCUACCAAGGCGAUGACGCAUAGCCGAGUUGAGAGACUGAUCGGCCACAUUGGGACUGAGACACGGCCCAAACUCCUACGGGAGGCAGCAGCU
rnacentral:rRNA from 1 species